AGGUAAUUGUAGUUUGCCCAAAAGAAUAACCCUAGAACCACAAGUCUACAGUGGCACGUCCUCUUCACUUCUGAUUUGCUGCCCCAUCGGCCGUCCACGGCCCGUGGAUCUCUACUGUAUCGCCGUCAGCUCCCCAAUGCCGAGGCGCUCCCCACUUCCGACUCUGCCGCAAGGUUUGAACAUCGUCGUCUUGGCUCUCCGGUGGGUUCUUUCAGAGUUUUGGAGUUGGAACCAGUCUGUAUUAGUUACCUCCCCAAAAAGUUGAAUUUGUGAAGUUGAAAGAAGGCUCCUGUUGUCAAUAUGGCUCUUCAUGAUCCUGCUGAGAUGGUUCCUCAACAAGAGAGAAAUGCGGUAUAUUGGGCUGAUAGUGUUGCUGGAUAAGGUCCUGGUAUUUAUCCUGGUCCUACCCUGAGGAGGAGAGGUAAUUGUGGUUAGUUUCUGUGUAAGCUUGCGUAAAACACAGGCAAUUUUUCUUGUUGCUGGUUGUUUCAGUAUGCAGCAACUCAUGUUUUUUACCUUUUUUUUUUUUUUUUUUUCGGUGAGUUUUUGACUUGGGUUACCCAUGAUGAAUGGGUGGUAUUGAUUUCCUAUUUCUGGUCUUGGUUAGUUUGCUUUAAAACUUGUUACUGAAUGGUUUAACUUCUGACAACCCAUGCUAUAAUUCAUUGUUUUAUGUUUUUACUUU